CAGUAGCCACGGUAAAACGAAGGGUGCAAGCGUUAAUCGGAAUUACUGGGCGUAAAGCGUGCGUAGGCGGUUUGUUAAGUCUGCUGUGAAAUCCCCGGGCUCAACCUGGGAAUGGCAGUGGAUACUGGCUCGCUAGAGUGUGUCAGAGGAUGGUGGAAUUCCCGGUGUAGCGGUGAAAUGCGUAGAGAUCGGGAGGAACAUCAGUGGCGAAGGCGGCCAUCUGGGACAACACUGACGCUGAGGCACGAAAGCGUGGGGAGCAAACAGGAUUAGAUACCCCUGUAGUCCCUGUCUCUUAUAC
rnacentral:rRNA from 1 species